GAGUGAAAGGUGCAGGGAAUGGAGUUUUCUCUUUCGAUUAACAGCUGCUUAAGCAGCCAUCUAGAGAAAGCUUUUACAGAAAAAUUCAGGUCAACCUAUACCAGGUCAACUUCUAUGCCUUGAAGGAUAAGAAUACAGCAUUCCCAUUCAGCACAUAAUACAAUGCUCUUCACACAGAAAUAAAUCAAUAAAUGCUGUUGACUGGUGUCUGACUUUACUUAAUGUCUACCCUUUUCGUGCCUCAAACUGCUUUGACAGUAUUCAUUCACUGAGUUUUUGAGUAACCC
rnacentral:lncRNA from 1 species